AUCUGUAGAGAGGAGGAUUUCUCUGUUCAUGGAGUGGAGGGUUUGGACAGCUACUCUGCUGAGACCUCACUUCUCACAAUACAAGCAAGUGUUACAUCAGCAGAUGAAAGAUUGGGUGACAUCAAUGAGGACGCAUUUAAUGAUAUAACAAACUCUAUCAUUGACUACGAUGAGGACGAAUACGAUCCUUCUUGGCAUCCAGACAUGGAGGCGCAAUCAGAUUUGCUGUUGGAAGAGGAGGACAC